rnacentral:rRNA from 1 species
GAUGAACGCUGGCGGCGUGCCUAAUACAUGCAAGUCGAGCGAACAGAUGAGGAGCUUGCUCCUCUGACGUUAGCGGCGGACGGGUGAGUAACACGUGGAUAACCUACCUAUAAGACUGGGAUAACUUCGGGAAACCGGAGCUAAUACCGGAUAAUAUAUUGAACCGCAUGGUUCAAUAGUGAAAGACGGUUUUGCUGUCACUUAUAGAUGGAUCCGCGCCGCAUUAGCUAGUUGGUAAGGUAACGGCUUACCAAGGCGACGAUGCGUAGCCGACCUGAGAGGGUGAUCGGCCACACUGGAACGUGGACACGGUCCAGACUACUACGGGAGGCAGCAGUAGGGAAUCUUCCGCAAUGGGCGAAAGCCUGACGGAGCAACGCCGAGUGAGAGAUGAAGGUCUUCGGAUCGUAAAACUCUGUUAUUAGGGAAGAACAAAUGUGUAAGUAACUAUGCACGUCUUGACGGUACCUAAUCAGAAAGCCACGGCUAACUACGUG